rnacentral:tRNA from 1 species
GCGCCGGUUGUGUAAGGUGUAGCAUCUCUGCCCGGAAAGGAGAAGGUGUGGGUUCGAGUCCCGUCUGCCGCA